rnacentral:rRNA from 1 species
UACGGAAGGCAGCAGUGGGGAAUAUUGCACAAUGGGCGCAAGCCUGAUGCAGCCAUGCCGCGUGUAUGAAAAAGGCCUUCGGGUUGUAAAGUACUUUCAGUCGUGAGGAAGGUGUUAAGGUUAAUAACCUUAGCAAUUGACGUUAGCGACAGAAGAAGCACCGGCUAACUCCGUGCCAGCAGCCGCGGUAAUACGGAGGGUGCGAGCGUUAAUCGGAAUUACUGGGCGUAAAGGGCACGCAGGCGGUUAAUUAAGUUGGAUGUGAAAUCCCCGGGCUUAACCUGGGAAUGGCAUUCAAGACUGGUUAGCUAGAGUCUUGUAGAGGGGGUAGAAUUCCGAUGUGUAGCGGUGAAAUGCGUAGAGAUGUGGAGGAAUACCGGUGGCGAAGGCGGCCCCUGGGACAAAGACUGACGCUCAUGUGCGAAAGCGUGGGGAGCGAAACAGGGAUUAGAU